rnacentral:rRNA from 1 species
UACGUAGGGUGCAAGCGUUGUCCGGAAUUAUUGGGCGUAAAGAGCUCGUAGGCGGUCUGUCGCGUCUGCUGUGAAAACUCAGGGCUUAACCCUGAGCUUGCAGUGGGUACGGGCAGACUAGAGUGCGGUAGGGGAGACUAGAAUUCCUGGUGUAGCGGUGAAAUGCGCAGAUAUCAGGAGGAACACCGGUGGCGAAGGCGGGUCUCUGGGCCGUAACUGACGCUGAGGAGCGAAAGCAUGGGGAGCGAACAGG